rnacentral:rRNA from 1 species
UACGGGGGGAGCGAGCGUUGUCCGGAUUUAUUGGGCGUAAAGGGCAUGUAGGUGGUCUUUUAAGUCAGUUGUUAAAACUAUCGGCUUAACCGGUAAUUGCAAUUGAUACUGGAAGACUUGAAUCUGAGAGGGGAUAGUGGAAUAUCAAGUGUAGCGGUGGAAUGCGUAGAUAUUUGAUAGAACACCUGAGGUGAAGACGACUAUCUGGUUCAUGAUUGACACUGAAAUGCGAAAGUAUGGGGAGCAAACAGGAUUAGAUACCCUGGUAGUCCAUACCGUAAACGAUGGGAACUAGGUGUCUGGGGACUAACCCCCUGGGCGCCGUAGCUAACGCGUUAAGUUCCCCGCCUGGGGAGUACGAUCGCAAGGUUGAA